AAAGCAAUAUUUAAGUGUGGUGGUGGUGGUUUAGUCGCUUUGUUAUGUCCAACUCCUGUGAUCCCAGAGACUGUGGCCCACCAGGCUCCUCUGUUCAUGGGAUUUUCCAGGCAAGAAUACUGGAGUGGGUUGCCAUUUCCUUCCCCUGG